GCCCCAGUAGUAUAAACAUUACCCUGGUCUUGUAAACCAGAAACGGAGAUUAACUCUCCCUGGGACA
rnacentral:tRNA from 1 species